UCUUGACUAGUAUAUCGGUUAGUACACGCGCUUGUCAUAAACCAUACGGCAAUUCAGAUAUGCGCGCGAAAGCUGGGUUCGACUCCCAGGUCGAGAG